CUCCAGGCACCGCGGAUCAAGUCGUCCAUCACCCCCUGUGAGCAAAGAGGAAUUUUUAAAAAAACACGUCCUGAUGAGCAUCAUAUCUCUUAUCUUCUAGAUUCCAAAAGCUGAUUACCAAACUCAAGACACCAGAAUGAUUCAUGUUGAAAUGGAGAAUAUGCAGAAAGGAAACCGGGAUCACCAGACAGAACAUUUCCAAUUGCAUUUAGGAGAGACAAGGGUUGCAUUCUCCACAGCAGCAUAGAAAGCCAGGAUACCAUAGGGGCACCAGCAAAACAGCAUGGUCUUCAGAGGAGUGCCACAGUUGAACUGCACAUAGAGAGCAAGAGGGAGGUUUAGUCUUCAGUUGGAUUUCUCCAAGUCACAUGCUGCAGAUUUAACUUGGAUGCCCCUUAUACACCAUUAAACAUUCCAAUGUUCAUAUGAGCAAACAUGGUACGGCAAACCAUAGCAAAAGAAAAGAAAAGAAAAAUGGCAAAAGACUGUAAAAUGCUACAGUAAAAACCUGUUAAUUGGUUACCAGUAAAAUCCUUAAUAUAUACACUGAAUAACUGUAAUACAGUGAAUAACUGUAACUGCAAUCUUACUUUUAAUGUAAUUUUACUGUAAAAUACUGUUAAAUUUACAGUUUUUAGAAGUAAAAAAGAACAAGUCAU